GAAACCCAACCACCGUGACGGCCGAAGUCACCCCCUCCGCUUCCGCAGAUGACGAUGAAGACGAUGAAACAGGAGCCACGGCAUCUCCUACUCAACCGGACGGCACAGCAGCAGCAAGUAAAAGCGCUACAGACGAUCUGACAAACCCGGAAGACGGAAUGACAUCAACCGAUCAAUCACUGC